UACGUUUGAUGUCAAUGCUCGUUCACGUU
rnacentral:sRNA from 1 species